UGUGGGAGCGGGCUUGCCUGCGAUGGCGGUGGGCCAAUCAGCAAAGAUGCCAACUGAUCCACCGCUAUCGCAGGCAAGCCAGCUCCCACA
rnacentral:misc_RNA from 1 species